rnacentral:rRNA from 1 species
UGGGGAAUUUUGGACAAUGGGCGAAAGCCUGAUCCAGCAAUGCCGCGUGUGUGAAGAAGGCCUUCGGGUUGUAAAGCACUUUUGUCCGGAAAGAAAUCCUUGGCUCUAAUACAGUCGGGGGAUGACGGUACCGGAAGAAUAAGCACCGGCUAACUACGUGCCAGCAGCCGCGGUAAUACGUAGGGUGCAAGCGUUAAUCGGAAUUACUGGGCGUAAAGCGUGCGCAGGCGGUUUGCUAAGACCGAUGUGAAAUCCCCGGGCUCAACCUGGGAACUGCAUUGGUGACUGGCAGGCUAGAGUAUGGCAGAGGGGGGUAGAAUUCCACGUGUAGCAGUGAAAUGCGUAGAGAUGUGGAGGAAUACCGAUGGCGAAGGCAGCCCCCUGGGCCAAAUACUGACGCUCAUGCACGAAAGCGUGGGGAGCAAACAGGAUUAGAUACCCUGGUAGUCCACGCCCUAAACGAUGUCAACUAGUUGUUGGGGAUUCAUUUCCUUAGUAACGUAGCUAACGCGUGAAGUUGACCGCCUGGGGAGUAC